UGACGGUACCUAUCGAAUCAGCAUCGGCUAACUCCGUGCCAGCAGCCGCGGUAAUACGGAGGAUGCAAGCGUUAUCCGGAAUUAUUGGGCGUAAAGCGUCCGUAGGUGGUUGUUCAAGUCUGCUGUUAAAGCGUGCGGCUUAACCGCAUACCAGCAGUGGAAACUGGGCGACUAGAGUGCGGUAGGGGUCAGGGGAAUUCCCAGUGUAGCGGUGAAAUGCGUAGAUAUUGGGAAGAACACCGGUGGCGAAAGCGCCUGACUGGAC
rnacentral:rRNA from 1 species